AAUUAAUGGUGUAGGUGUUAGAUGUGACUCGAAAUCUACUAUCGAUUCAGGUUCGGAUUUACGACUCACCGACAGUUUCGCGGUGCGACCAAUUUGGAAAAAAAAAUUAUUGAGGAAAAAUGAAUGUCUGUGGUGGGUAGCGGAGGGCUCGGGCCGACAGGCCCGAGCCCGUAGAGGCGUGUGAUCGUUUUUGCCCUAGAAGCGUGUGAUCGUGGUCGGUUGUAAUCUGAAGAAUAUUGUAUUCCCUUUUUCGUUUCAUAGUGAAGAUCUCUCCUUCCUCGCCCGUGGUUUUUUUUCCUGCAAAGAGUUUUCCACGUAAAUCUGUGUCUCUUUAUUUUCUGCUUGUGGUUUGAUUGUUUUUUGUGUUCGUCAUUUUGUUUCCGUUUGUGUGUUUGUCGUACCAGUAGGUUUUGAUUUGAAUGCGACGUAUUUAUUAUUGUAAACUAGCA
rnacentral:lncRNA from 1 species